ensembl:ncRNA lncRNA:CR46268 long non-coding RNA:CR46268
CGCACUUAUAAUCACAUUAACCAUGAACCCGUACAAUAAGUUUCAAGAUAUGGUUUUAAAGCAAUGGUACCGGUAGAAAGUUGUGGAAAUACAUUCCGAGCAAUUUUCAGUGGAAGAAUAGUACCUGCGAAAUACAGGUUGAACAAUAAGCAAUUUAUGGAAAGGAAACCAAGUAUACCAAAAAUCAGGCAGGUCAGCAGUCUUGGAAGUCAAUUCACUUUUCCCAAUAUAGCGGAUCUAUUUUGCAAUGCCGUCUCCAUUCACAAUGACUAUUGUAAAUUGCAUUUUAUAAACGAAAAGUUGCAAUUCCAUUUAAAUGGAAUGUUGGAAAGUAAAGAUGCUUCAGCGAUUUACUAUUUUAAGCAACAUAUUAUUCUAAACUCGGAUCAACUGGAAUCUGCAUCCAAAAAUUAUGACAUGACCUUUCAUACAAUAAUGAGAAGGUGGGAAACUGACCGGAAAACGUAAAGCCGACGCUGUCGAUGUACUAGGCCAAGUUGACAGGUUGCUUGUGAGGCUCGAGUGCAGGGAAAUAGAAGGAGAGAGUGGAGGGGAGAGCCGUGCACUGCAAACUGCAAGCGCGGGAGACACCCGCUGACUAUAUGAGGGACUUAAUCGAGAGAGUCUCGAAAACUUGGAAAACCAGCCAGAGGAGGUAGGACACGUAACAGACCAAAUGGAGACCACAAUGGGUGAAGCAGCCGGAGGAAUAGAACUACCACCACUUGGCUAUACUAGGUGUCCCUCCAGUGUGCUUCCGCGGUACCAGUCAAGUUCAGAAGACCGGUCGGAUGCUACGGACAGGCGUGAACGAGAGCUAAUGAAAAUGAGCGUACAAAUAAACGCUCUGAAGAAGAAGGUGGAUGAAUUACACGCCGCAGAGACCUUUACGGAGCAAGACCAAUACCACCACAUGCACUACCUAGAAUUCGUACGGAUAGCUUUCUAAGGCUUCAAGACACACCGACACCAGUAAAAGUGUCGCAAGAGUGCUGUAACGACCAGAUGCAUCGAUUGAGGGAGCCCAGGCGAACGGCGAAACCACAGUAGAUACCUUAAGAAUGCGUUGCCGAGGAACCCAGUCACCAGUUUUUCUCCAAGUAAUGACCAUCACCUCCGGUUUUCGAAUUCGUAAAAUUUUUUGAUUUGUGAAAUGGGUACUUUUGUCUGUCCGAAAUGCCUGUAAAAGUAAAGUAAAUGCCUGUUUUCAUAUCAAAUCAGAUCUUAUUUUUAAAGGGAAAAUUAGUUCACUUAGCCUAUUGAUGUUUAUUCCAUAUCCCCAAAAUGUCAUUCUAGCCACUAAGGUAUUUUAUAAUAAAUUUAUUUGCGACUCUACCACAGAUUUGACAUA